rnacentral:rRNA from 1 species
CUUUGAAACUGCGAAUGGCUCAUUAUAUCAGUUAUAGUUUAUUAGAAAUAAUUUACUACUUGGAUAACCGUAGUAAUUCUAGGGCUAAUACAUGAGUAAAUCCUCGACUUUGAAGAGGUGUGUUUAUUAGUAUGAAAACCAUAUGCUUUUGCAUAAUAGUGAGUAAUAAUAACCUUUCAUAUCGUAUGUUGUAAUAACGAUAGUUCUUUCAAGUUUCUGCCCUAUCAGCUUUCGAUGGUAGUGCAUUGGACUACCAUGGCAGUAACGGGUAACGAAGAAUUUGGGUUCGAUUUCGGAGAGGGAGCCUGAGAGAUGGCUACCACAUCCAAGGAAGGCAGCAGGCGCGUAAAUUACCCAAUCCUGACAUAGGGAGGUAGUGACAAUAAAUCACAAUGCGGGACUUUUAGUUUUGCAAUUGGAUUGAGAACAAUGUAAAAGAGUUAUCGAUAAACAAUUGGAGGGCAAGUCUGGUGCCAGCAGCCGCGGUAAUUCCAGCUCCAAUAGCGUAUAUUAACGUUGUUGCAGUUAAAAA